rnacentral:rRNA from 1 species
AGUGAACGCUGGCGGUAGGCCUAACACAUGCAAGUCGAACGGCAGCACAGUAAGAGCUUGCUCUUAUGGGUGGCGAGUGGCGGACGGGUGAGGAAUACAUCGGAAUCUACUUUUUCGUGGGGGAUAACGUAGGGAAACUUACGCUAAUACCGCAUACGACCUACGGGUGAAAGCAGGGGAUCUUCGGACCUUGCGCGAUUGAAUGAGCCGAUGUCGGAUUAGCUAGUUGGCGGGGUAAAGGCCCACCAAGGCGACGAUCCGUAGCUGGUCUGAGAGGAUGAUCAGCCACACUGGAACUGAGACACGGUCCAGACUCCUACGGGAGGCAGCAGUGGGGAAUAUUGGACAAUGGGAGCAAGCCUGAUCCAGCCAUACCGCGUGGGUGAAGAAGGCCUUCGGGUUGUAAAGCCCUUUUGUUGGGAAAGAAAAGCAGCAGGUUAAUACCCCGCUGUUCUGACGGUACCCAAAGAAUAAGCACCGGCUAACUUCGUG